UCGGUGGCCCUCCUUUGAGAAAAAAAUCUCCUGCUGUGUAUCGAUCUGAUCUUCUUCUCUCUUCUAGAGUCAUCUACUCUAAUCCCUCACACCUAAGUACCCAAAAAUCACUACGAAAAAGAGCAACAGAGCAAGAGAGUUGUGAGCAGCCAGAACAGUGUUGACGACCAUGGCUUCCAAAACAGAGCCUACCCAGAGGCUGGUCUUCUCAGACGAGUACAAAGCCACCAUCUUUGCUGCAGAACCAAGCUCAGAAGCACAACCCACAAUGCAAAAAUCUCAGAGGUGAUAGAUGGUGCGAUCUGGAUUUGAUAAUCUGUGUUUCUAUCUUUUGGUAUUGUAUCCAGUGCUCUGCGUGUUGAGUAAUUGGGCGCAUCGCAAAAGCUUGUGUUUUGCGUUUUGAUUGGAUCUAGUUUGUGACGAGACGAUUGGGUUGAGAACAAGUAGAACAGGACCUUAGUGGUUCGGCGGAGCAGAAGAAGAUGGCUUUGAGUCUGGGUUUAUUUGGGGCUGCUUACUUACAGACAUUACUCUCUAGUCUUUGCAAAACCUCAGACAUUGCAACAGAAAAAAGAAGAAGGCAAAUCAGUUUGAUCUGCAAUUUCAUAAUCUUUGCAAAACCUUGGGCAAUACAGAAGAGAAGAAGGCAUAUCAGUUUGAUCUCCAAUUUGACAAGUGAGAUGCCAUCAAGCUGUACCGUAUCGAUCAGGCUCUGAGAUACAGAGGCUGGGUUGAAAAUGAGAAUGAAAUUUCACCGUCUACGGGUACCGGGGAUUCUCACUGUUUUUGCUUCCUUCACUGGUCAAUCUAACCAGGUAAUGGUUUCCGUUCUUGAUUUGUGUUCAAAAUAUUGGUGUUUGGUGAUUGGGUUUAGGGAUUUGCUUUGUGUCCUGCAAGUAUAGGAACUUUUGAUGGGGAAAACAUUGGUCUUUUUUUUUGGGUGCUUUUCGUCGUAUAAACUGGUAUAUUGUUCUCAGUGGUUUCUUACUUCCUCUCUGUUCAAAGGUGUUGAAUCAAAUACCCAGAUUAUUAUCUUUUGGAAUUGCAUUGAGAAAAGCAAGAGAGCUCCAGAUUACUUGAUUUCAAACUUGACCGAUAUUGCUGUGAAGGAUUGGAGGGUUUUAUUUGGGUGUCCUUAUCAUUUCAUGAGUGGUGUGGUGAAGAUGGUUUCUCAAUCUUCCUUGCCUUAAUGCUUCAUGGAGUUGGUGCAGGGCUAUGUUGAUGUGGUUGGUUCCUGUAAUGGAAUGGUUCAUUUACAUAUUGUUGCGUACUUAUUAUGAACGGUGUGAGAUUACUACUACCAAAAGUUGUGCCUUUUGAAGAUUAUUGCUGGUCAGUAUCGUUGUUUCCAUGCUGGAUUUGUCAAUGCCUAAAUGGAAUGUGAUUCACAAGCAACUGCUCCAACUUUUUCGAAUCACUCAAUUGGCCUCAGCAAAACCACGCACUCUGGAGGAAGCAACUUUUUGGACAUCCGCCAUGACUAGCUAUCCAUAGGCCAACACCUUUUGAGAAUAUACACCUGCUAAUGGACAUCAUACAACUAUUUUUUUGCAAACUAUUGCAGCAGCAAUUGUAAUUGGCUCUAAACUAUGAUGACCUAUUUUUUGAACACACUACCACAACAUCUGUACUGGUGGUUAUGUUGCUAGAACAUGAUCUACUUCAUCUUUCGUUGUAAAACAGAUAUUCUUUUAUUAAUAUAAUGAUCAUGUCAACUAUAUUUUCUA